rnacentral:lncRNA from 1 species
CCGCAGAUCACUGAACUACAACUCCCAGCGACGCCGAAGCCCAGGAGAGAGUCUGCUUCUCUGCACCUUGCUACUUAGUGGCUCUGCCUCCUAAGUUCUGUGCUCUCAGCCAUGUGGGGCUGCCUCACCUGCACUGGACGGUUCACCAGCAAAGGGCCAUUCCUGAAGGACAAUGACAGAACUGCAGCUAAGGAGCAUCAAGGGCAGUGGUGCUCAAAGCGGUUUGCCUGGCCAGGAAGAUCAGCAUCUCCGGGGAACUUGUUAGAAACGCACGUGCUAAGGCCCACCUCGGACCUAAUGAAGCAGAAACUGCGGGUAGGGAUCAGCAAUCCGUUUCAGAGGCUCUCCAGGGGGAGCCACUACACAGCAAGGUUUGAGAAGCACUGACCUACAGACUUCCCCUUCGCCAGUGGGGAAAAAACCUGGAGGGCG